rnacentral:rRNA from 1 species
UCGAGGGAUAAGCCCUUCGGGGUGGAAACCGGCGCACGGGUGCGUAACGCGUAUGCAACCUACCUUUCACAGGGGGAUAGCCCGAAGAAAUUUGGAUUAAUACCCCAUAAUAUUGUUGGAUGGCAUCAUCUGAUAAUUAAAGUUACGAUGGUGAAAGAUGGGCAUGCGUCCUAUUAGCUAGUUGGAGUGGUAACGGCACCCCAAGGCUACGAUAGGUAGGGGUCCUGAGAGGGAGAUCCCCCACACUGGUACUGAGACAGGGACCAGACUCCUACGGGAGGCAGCAGUGAGGAAUAUUGGUCAAUGGUCGAAAGACUGAACCAGCCAUGCCGCGUGCAGGACAGACGGCCCUAGAGGUUGUAAACUGCUUUUAUAUGGGAAGAAUAAGGAGUACGCGUACUUUGAUGACGGUACCAUAUGAAUAAGCAUCGGCUAACUCCGUGCCAGCAGCCGCGGUAAUACGGAGGAUGCGAGCGUUAUUCGGAAUCAUUGGGUUUAAAGGGUCUGUAGGCGGGCUAUUAAGUCAGGGGUGAAAGGUUUCAGCUUAACUGAGAAAUUGCCUUUGAUACUGGUAGUCUUGAAUAUCUGUGAAGUUCUUGGAAUGUGUAGUGUAGCGGUGAAAUGCUUAGAUAUUACACAGAACACCGAUUGCGGAGGCAGGGGACUAACAGACGAUUGACGCUGAGAGACGAAAGCGUGGGGAGCGAACAGGAUU